GUAGGGAAUAUUGGGCAAUGGAGGCAACUCUGACCCAGCCAUGCCGCGUGCAGGAAGACGGUCCUCUGGAUUGUAAACUGCUUUUGAAUGGGAAGAAACGUAGCUUUGCGAAGCUAUUUGACGGUACUAUUAGAAUAAGCACCGGCUAACUCCGUGCCAGCAGCCGCGGUAAUACGGAGGGUGCAAGCGUUAUCCGGAUUUAUUGGGUUUAAAGGGUGCGUAGGCGGCUUUAUAAGUCUGGGGUUAAAGGCGGCAGCUUAACUGUACGCAUGCCCUGGAAACUGUGAAGCUUGAGUGACUUGGAGGUAGCUAGAAUUCCCUGUGUAGCGGUGAAAUGCAUAGAUACGGGGAGGAAUACCGAUUGCGAAGGCAUGUUACUACGAGUAAACUGACGCUGAUGCACGAAAGCGUGGGGAUCAAACAGGAUUAGAUACCCGUGUAGUCC
rnacentral:rRNA from 1 species